UUAUUCCUACGGGGGGCAGCAGUGGGGAAUAUUGCACAAUGGGGGAAACCCUGAUGCAGCGACGCCGCGUGAGCGAUGAAGUAUUUCGGUAUGUAAAGCUCUAUCAGCAGGGAAGAAGAUGACGGUACCUGUCGAAUAAGCCACGGCUAACUACGUGCCAGCAGCCGCGGUAAUACGUAGGUGGCAAGCGUUGUCCGGAUUUACUGGGUGUAAAGGGCGUGUAGCCGGGUUGACAAGUCAGAUGUGAAAUCCUGCGGCUUAACCGCAGAACUGCAUUUGAAACUGUUGAUCUUGAGUACUGGAGA
rnacentral:rRNA from 1 species